UACGGAGGGUGCAAGCGUUAUCCGGAUUCACUGGGUUUAAAGGGUGCGUAGGUGGGCAGGUAAGUCAGUGGUGAAAUCUCCGGGCUUAACUCGGAAACUGCCAUUGAUACUAUCUGUCUUGAAUACCGUGGAGGUUAGCGGAAUAUGUCAUGUAGCGGUGAAAUGCUUAGAUAUGACAUAGGACACCAAUUGCGAAGGCAGCUGGCUACACGAAUAUUGACACUGAUGCACGAAAGCGUGGGGAUCAAACAGG
rnacentral:rRNA from 1 species